GCGAACGCUGGCGGCAGGCCUCACCCAUGCCAGUCGAACGGAUCCUUCGGGAUUAGUGGCGGACGGGUGAGUAACACGUGGGAACGUGCCCUUUGGUUCGGAACAACUCAGGGAAACUUGAGCUAAUACCGGAUGUGCCCUUCGGGGGAAAGAUUUAUCGCCAUUGGAGCGGCCCGCGUCUGAUUAGCUAGUUGGUGAGGUAACGGCCCACCAAGGCGACGAUCAGUAGCUGGUCUGAGAGGAUGAUCAGCCACACUGGGACUGAGACACGGCCCAGACUCCUACGGGAGGCAGCAGUGGGGAAUCUUGCGCAAUGGGCGAAAGCCUGACGCAGCCAUGCCGCGUGAAUGAUGAAGGUCUUAGGAUUGUAAAAUUCUUUCAGCGGGGACGAUAAUGACGGUACCCGCAGAAGAAGCUCCGGCUAACUUCGUG
rnacentral:rRNA from 1 species